rnacentral:rRNA from 1 species
GUGGGGAAUAUUGGGCAAUGGGCGAAAGCCUGACCCAGCAACGCCGCGUGAAGGAAGAAGGUUUUCGGAUCGUAAACUUCUAUCCUUGGUGAAGAUAAUGACGGUAGCCAAGAAGGAAGCCCCGGCUAACUACGUGCCAGCAGCCGCGGUAAUACGUAGGGGGCAAGCGUUGUCCGGAAUGAUUGGGCGUAAAGGGCGCGUAGGCGGCCCGGUAAGUCUGAAGUGAAAGUCCUGCUUCUAAGGUGGGAAUUGCUUUGGAUACUGUCGGGCUUGAGUGCAGGAGAGGUAAGCGGAAUUCCCGGUGUAGCGGUGAAAUGCGGAGAGAUCGGGAGGAACACCAGUGGCGAAGGCGGCUUACUGGACUGUAACUGACGCUGAGGCGCGAAAGUGUGGGGAGCAAACAGGAUUAGAAACCCCGGUAGUCC